CUGGAUUCCAUUGUGAGCGUCUUGAGUUCGAUUCCUGACCCUGCCUCUUUAGGAUCCGCACGUUGCUGCCUUUCAGCCUCCAAACCUUCGCUCUGGCCGUUCUCUCCACCUGGAAUACCCUUCCGAGCCUCUCUUCACCUCCAUGUCAUUAACUCGCAUACAUCCUUUCAGAUAUUUCCUGAGGGCUUGUGAUUUGCCAGAUCCUGUACCAGGUGCUGGAACUUGGUGAUAGACAAUCCACAGUCUCUGCUCUGAAGACAUCCAUGCAGGUUACAUACACGGGCGGUGCAGCGGAGAGCGCGGCGG
rnacentral:lncRNA from 1 species